UUUAUAUAUUGCUUGUUGCUCUGACAAUAAAAUUAAGAGUAUUAUGACUCCGGCGAGCUCACAUCGUCAGUUUCCUGCCGAAGGUGUUGCCACGUCUCGCCGAAGCAACCUGUGCUCUGUAAUCAAGGGUGGGAGAUCCUGUAGAACAGGAAAACUCGAUAAUGAUCCUUCCGCAGGUUCACCUACGGAAA
rnacentral:misc_RNA from 1 species